rnacentral:rRNA from 1 species
UACGUAGGGUGCAAGCGUUGUCCGGAAUUAUUGGGCGUAAAGAGCUCGUAGGCGGUUCGUCGCGUCGGCUGUGAAAACCUGAGGCUCAACCUCAGGCCUGCAGUCGAUACGGGCGGACUUGAGUACUGCAGGGGAGACUGGAAGUUCCUGGUGUAGCGGUGAAAUGCGCAGAUAUCAGGAGGAACACCGGUGGCGAAGGCGGGUCUCGUGGGCAGUAACUGACGCUGAGGAGCGAAAGCGUGGGGAGCGAACAGG